rnacentral:rRNA from 1 species
CCCUUAGAUGUCCGGGGCCGCACGCGCGCUACACUGAAGGAAUCAGCGUGGCUUUCUCCCUGACCCGAAAGGGUUGGGAAACCCGUUGAAUCUCCUUCGUGAUAGGGAUUGGGGCUUGAAAUUGUUCCCCAUGAACGAGGAAUUCCCAGUAAGCGCGAGUCAUAAGCUCGCGUUGAUUACGUCCCUGCCCUUUGUACACACCGCCCGUCGCUACUACCGAUUGAGUGCUCCGGUGAACAAUUUGGACUGCUUUGAUUCGAUUAGAAUUUGAAGCGGAAAGUUUAGUGAACCUUAUCACUUAGAGGAAGGAGAAGUCGUAACA